AUUGAACGCUGGCGGCAGGCCUAACACAUGCAAGUCGAGCGGAGCGGCGGACGGGUGAGUAAUGCCUAGGAAUCUGCCUGGUAGUGGGGGAUAACGUCCGGAAACGGGCGCUAAUACCGCAUACUAUCAGAUGAGCCUAGGACGGAAUAGCUAGUUGGUGGGGUAAAGGCCUACGAAGGCGACGAUCCGUAACUGGUCUGAGAGGAUGAUCAGUCACACUGUAAAUGGAACACGGUCCCGAAUCCUACGGGAGGAAGCAGGGGGGAAGAUUGGACAAUGUGCGAAAGCCUGAUCCAGCCAUGCCGCGGGUGUGAAGAAGGUCUUCGGAUUGUAAAGCACUGUAAGUUGGGAGGCGUUACCAACAGAAUAAGCACCGGCUAACUUCGUGCCAGCAGCCGCGGUAAUAC
rnacentral:rRNA from 1 species